rnacentral:hammerhead_ribozyme from 1 species
AUCCAGCCGAAGAGUCCCAAACAAGACGAAACGCGGGUCAAACUGGAU